rnacentral:rRNA from 1 species
UACGUAGGGGGCAAGCGUUGUCCGGAUUUACUGGGCGUAAAGCGCGCGUAGGCGGCUACUUAAGUCGGAUGUGAAAGCCCUUGGCUCAACUGAGGAAGUGCACCCGAAACUGAGUGGCUAGAGUACGAAAGAGGGUCGCGGAAUUCCCGGUGUAGAGGUGAAAUUCGUAGAUAUCGGGAGGAACACCGGUGGCGAAGGCGGCGACCUGGGUCGAUACUGACGCUGAUGCGCGAAAGCGUGGGGAGCAAACAGG